GCCACUUCUCGUUCUUAUUUCCUUGCUACAGGGCAAAAGGGCGAAAAGGGGCGGACUCGCGUUUCCGGCGGUGAUUCCGCCGGUCCCUUCUGUCUCCAGUGGCCGGAUCGGCGCCGGAGAUGGAGGUGGACCGAGGAAUCGGCGUGCGGCUGUGAAUAGGCUAGAUAGUAUAGUAUCUAGGUCUUCGUUUUCCUCGCCGGCGUUGCUGCGGGUGGAGGAACGAGCUCCGGGAGUGGCUAUGCGUCCACUUUGCCGGCGAAUAAGGUUGCCUGCUGCUGUUCUUGUUGGCGGGCUGAUGUUUCUACUUCUCCAAGAUGGAUAUGGCGCUUGUGGCGGCGACGGUGACGGCGCCAGAUCUGCCCCUGCAUCAUCUUGGAGGUUAGGCUUUUGUUUGUUUGCUGUCUGUGUCUUCCUUGCGAAAGGGAGGCCACAGGAUUUCCCUGCGUGGGGGUUCUGUUCCGGGCUGCUGAUGUCUUCGGCAGUCGCGGAGCUUUCUUCCGGCCAGCGAGCUGAACCAAAGCUUUGGAGUUCCUCGACGAGGCGGAUGGAGGUGACGGCCGGACUCCGGCGAUGGUCUGGAGGUGUCGGCGUUGAGGAUAGGGCUGAGGACUUCCUGGGGUGUGUGCGUAUUUUUUCUUUGUACCAGGGUGUUCUCUGCAAUAUGGCAGGGAUGUACUGUACCUCCUCUGUUUAAUAUAGUCUUCCCUUUCCCAAAAAAAAAAGUGGGGAGAAAAA